GGGUGAAAGAGCAGGUUCUAUAUUUGAGAAAAGAAAACACUUCAGAAGCAUAUAUGCUUAGAGCAUUAAAAUGGAUUAUUUGCCUUGUUCUGUUUGGGAAAGUGUCUAUCAAUAACAGACUUCCACAUGAGAGCCGAAUUGCAAACUGUAAGUGACUUCCUCGCUGCCUGUUUUGAACCCCAUCCCUAUGCAAAGGGGAAUGGUGAACCAAGUUCAUGAAUUCACCCUGCCUUUGUAACUGAAACUUGUCAAUGAAACAGAAAACAAAACAAAGGAAAAAGCAGGACCUCAAUAAGUAGAAAAUGUGAGACGGUGCAACGAUGAAAGGCUAGCAAAACUGAGUAAAUGGUUGGAGACAGAAAACUUAUUAUAGAUUUUACAUUCAACCCAUGAGGAUUUUGACUGAUUCCACUGAGCAGGCUCAGGACAAAAUCUUUGAAAAGCAGAAUGACUCCUAAGGUGCAGGAAAUUCUGAAUGUGCCCAUGAAGAGUUUUUUCUAGACUCUCAGCAGUAAUAAAAGACUUCUGGCAGAUUAGUAUCAAAGAUUGCUUUGGAUGUGAGGCAAAAUCAAGAGUCAGAUGCUCAACCCAUGGAGCCGCCCAGGAGCCCCCUCAUUAUUCUUUACAAUCCGUCUGCUUCCCCUAACUUCAGAUCCUGGCUUCUACGAUCUACGUCCCUAUAAGAUUGCAUUUGCUAAAAUGUCAUAAAAAUGGAAUCAUACAGCAUGUGGAUUUUUGUGUGGACUUCUUUCACCUAGCAUAAUACUUGAAGAUUCAUCUUCAUUUUUGCACGUCAAUUAUUUUUCAUUGAUAAAUUGAUGGGCAGUCUUCCAUUGUGCAGAAGCACUUCCUUGUGUUUACUCAUUCACUACACGGACAUUUGGAUUGUGUCUAGUUUUUAACAAUUAGAAUAAAUUGUUACUAUAGUCAUUGAAUAAAGUUGCUAUAGCCAUCACGUGCAGGUAUUUGUGUGGACACGUAUUUUCUUUUCUCUUGCAUGAAUACGUAGGAAUAAGAUUGUGGAGUCAUAAAGAUGUUUGUCGUGUAGGUUUCAUUUUUAUCAGAAACUGCCAGCCUCUUUUCCAAAGUGACUGUAACAUUUUGCAUUCUCAAAGGCAAUGUGGGGGAGUUCCAGUUGUUCUGCCUCCUCAUCAGCCAUUUUAACAGAUGUGUAGGAAAUCCCGUGUUGCUAUCUGUUAUUUCCCUAAGAGUAGUGACAUUGAGCAUCUUUUCAUGUGCUGGCUUUGUCAUUUGGCUCUUGUCUUUGGUGAAAUAUCUUCU